rnacentral:rRNA from 1 species
UACGGAGGAUCCAAGCGUUAUCCGGAUUUACUGGGCGUAAAGGGCGCGUAGGCGGCAAUUCAAGUCAUCUGUGAAAUCUCCGGGCUUAACCCGGAACGGUCAGGUGAUACUGUUUUGCUAGAGUGCGGAAGGGGCAAUCGGAAUUCUCGGUGUAGCGGUGAAAUGCGUAGAUAUCGAGAGGAACACCAGAGGUGAAGACGGGUUGCUGGGCCGACACUGACGCUGACAGCGCGAAAGCCAGGGGAGCAAACGGG